rnacentral:rRNA from 1 species
AAAUACUCCUGACUGACCGAUAGUGAACUAGUACCGUGAGGGAAAGGCGAAAAGAACCCCGGAGAGGGGAGUGAAAUAGAUCCUGAAACCGUAUGCGUACAAGCAGUGGGAGCCCACUUUGUUGGGUGACUGCGUACCUUUUGUAUAAUGGGUCAGCGACUUAUUUUCAGUGGCGAGCUUAACCGAAUAGGGGAGGCGUAGCGAAAGCGAGUCUUAAUAGGGCGUCUAGUCGCUGGGAAUAGACCCGAAACCGGGCGAUCUAUCCAUGGGCAGGUUGAAGGUUGAGUA